rnacentral:rRNA from 1 species
UACGGGGGGAGCAAGCGUUGUUCGGAUUUACUGGGCGUAAAGGGCGCGUAGGCGGCCAGCACACGUCAGUUGUGAAAUCUCCGAGCUUAACUCGGAAAGGUCAACUGAUACUGUGCGGCUAGAGUGCGGAAGGGGCAACUGGAAUUCUUGGUGUAGCGGUGAAAUGCGUAGAUAUCAAGAGGAACACCUGCGGCGAAGGCGGGUUGCUGGGCCGACACUGACGCUGAUGCGCGAAAGCUAGGGGAGCAAACGGG